AGUUAAUGAGCUUGACUAAAGCGUAUGUUUUGAAAACAUAAGAUAGAGCAUAAAUUCUCUAUUAACUU
rnacentral:tRNA from 1 species